UACGUAGGUGGCGAGCGUUUGCCGGAUUUACUGGGCGUAAAGAGCGCGCAGGCGGUCGUGCAAGUCGCGUGUGAAAGCCCCCGGCUCAACUGGGGAGGGUCACGCGAUACUGCUCGACUCGAAGGCAGGAGAGGGUAGUGGAAUUCCCGGUGUAGUGGUGAAAUGCGUAGAGUAUCGGGAGGAACACCAGUCGGCGAAGGCGACUACCUGGCCUGUUCUUGACGCUGAGGCGCGGAAAGCUAAGGGGAGCAACCGGGG
rnacentral:rRNA from 1 species